UACGAAGGGGGCUAGCGUUGCUCGGAAUCACUGGGCGUAAAGCGCACGUAGGCGGCUCGUUAAGUCAGGGGUGAAAUCCUGGAGCUCAACUCCAGAACUGCCUUUGAUACUGACGAGCUUGAGUUCGGGAGAGGUGAGUGGAACUGCGAGUGUAGAGGUGAAAUUCGUAGAUAUUCGCAAGAACACCAGUGGCGAAGGCGGCUCACUGGCCCGAUACUGACGCUGAGGUGCGAAAGCGUGGGGAGCAAACAGG
rnacentral:rRNA from 1 species